GAUGAGCGCUGGCGGCGUGCCUAAUACAUGCAAGUCGAGCGGUAAGGCCUCUUCGGAGGUACACGAGCGGCGGACGGCUGAGUAACACGUAGGAACGUACCCCAAAGUGAGGGAUAACUGCUCGAAAGAGUAGCUAAUACCGCAUGUGAUCCACGGAUUAAAGCUUUAUGCGCUUUGGGAACGGCCUGCGUCCGAUUAGCUAGAUGGUAGUGUAAUGGACUACCANGGCGACGAUCGGUAGCUGGUCUGAGAGGAUGAUCAGCCAGACUGGGACUGAGACACGGCCCAGACUCCUACGGGAGGCAGCAGUAGGGAAUUUUCCACAAUGGGCGAAAGCCUGAUGGAGCAACGCCGCGUGCAGGAUGAAUGCCUUAGGGUUGUAAACUGCUUUUAUUAGU
rnacentral:rRNA from 1 species